rnacentral:misc_RNA from 1 species
GAUGAAGAACGCAGCAAAAUGCGAUACGUAAUGUGAAUUGCAAAUUCAGUGAAUCAUCGAGUCUUUGAACGCACAUUGCGCCCCCUGGUAUUCCGGGGGGCAUGCCUGUCCGAGCGUCAUUGCUGCCCUCAAGCACGGCUUGUGUGUUGGGCCCCGUCCUCCGAUCCCGGGGGACGGGCCCGAAAGGCAGCGGCGGCACCGCGUCCGGUCCUCGAGCGUAUGGGGCUUUGUCACCCGCUCUGUAGGCCCGGCCGGCGCUUGCCGAUCAACCCAAAUUUUUAUCCAGGUUGACCUCGGAUCAGGUAGGGAUACCCGCUGAACUUAAGCAUAUCAAUAAGCGGAGGA